AGCAGCCGCGGUAAUUCCAGCUCCAAUAGCGUAUAUUAAAGUUGUUGCAGUUAAAAAGCUCGUAGUUGAAUUUCGGGACUAAUAUGUUGGUCGUGCUUUUGUACGUACUGGCAUUAUUGGUUUCUACCUUCUGAAGAACCGCGAUGUCAUUAAUUUGGUGUCGUGGGAAAUCAGGACUGUUACUUUGAAAAAAUUAGAGUGUUUAAAGCAGGCUCA
rnacentral:rRNA from 1 species